rnacentral:tRNA from 1 species
GCCAGCUUAGCUCAGUUGGUAGAGCGUCUCACUCGUAACGAGAAGGCCGCCAGUUCAAUCCUGGCAGCUGGCU